rnacentral:rRNA from 1 species
CGAGUGCCUGCGGUCUGCUUAAGAUAUGGUCGGGCCCGCGGUGAAAGCCGGGGGGUUAAGUUUACCCAGCAUGGAGACGCACGGCGUGGCUGCCGUCUCCCGUAAACAUCAACUGUUCCGUAGGUGAACCUGCGGAAGGAUCAUUAAAGAGUGAGGGUCCUCUGUCGGCCCAACCUCCCAACCCUCUGUGUACCUACCUCUGUUGCUUCGGCGGGAUGCUGAGGUGUUAACCCACCUUGGCCGCUGGCUCUCAGCCGGCGCGCGCCCGCCAGAGGCCCUACCAAACUCUGUUUAUCAGUGUCGUCUGAGUUAAUACACAAAUCGUUAAAACUUUCAACAACGGAUCUCUUGGUUCUGGCAUCGAUGAAGAACGCAGCGAAAUGCGAUAAGUAAUGUGAAUUGCAGAAUUCAGUGAAUCAUCGAAUCUUUGAACGCACAUUGCGCCCCUUGGCAUUCCGAGGGGCAUGCCUGUUCGAGCGUCAUUUCACCACUCAAGCUCUGCUUGGUAUUGGGCCCUCGUCCGACCGGACGUGCCUGAAAAUCAGUGGCGGGACCGCCCGACUUCAAGCGCAGUAAUUUCUUCUCGCUUUGGAAGGACGGGUCGAGUCGCCAGCCAGAUAAACCCCUUUAUC